rnacentral:rRNA from 1 species
AUUGAACGCUGGCGGCAUGCCUUACGCAUGCAAGUCGAGCGGCAGCGCGGGGGCAACCCUGGCGGCGAGCGGCGAACGGGUGAGUAAUACAUCGGAACGUGUCCUUUCGUGGGGGAUAACCAGUCGAAAGACUGGCUAAUACCGCAUGAGAUCUCACGAUGAAAGCGAGGGACCGCAAGGCCUCGCGCGAUCGGAGCGGCCGAUGUCGGAUUAGCUAGUUGGCGGGGUAAUGGCCCACCAAGGCGACGAUCCGUAGCUGGUUUGAGAGAACGACCAGCCACACUGGGACUGAGACACGGCCCAGACUCCUACGGGAGGCAGCAGUGGGGAAUUUUGGACAAUGGGCGCAAGCCUGAUCCAGCCAUGCCGCGUGUGUGAAGAAGGCCUUCGGGUUGUAAAGCACUUUCGGCCGGAACGAAAUCGCGCGGGUCAACAGCCCGCGUGGAUGACGGUACCGGAAGAAGAAGCACCGGCUAACUACGUGCCAGCAGCCGCGGUAAGAC